CCAACAUAGGCACAGACGGCAAUAAAUCAGGGAAUAGCUGCUUCAGAAAGCUUGCAAAGAACUCUGUGGGGUGGGCACCUUCAAUUGAUUCUUCAAGACCCAGAAUAUGUAGAUUGUUCCUUCUGUUUCUGCUUUCCAGUUGCAGAUGUCAGAACAUAUUCCAAGAGGGUGAACCCUUGUACCGUGUCAGGCCCUGAUGGUGUACUUGGUAGGGUUCUGAAAAUAUGUGCCAACCAACUGGUGGGAGCGUGCAAGGACAUCUUCAAUCUCUCACUGCUGCAGUCGGAGGUUCCCACCUGUUUCAAAAGGGUAACAGUCACACCAAGAAGAGCAGGGUCUGAAUCCUACCCAGAUUUGAUGCGGAGCUGAUGGGCAGGAGACCACCACCUGGAGUCAAAAGGAUUAAUCCUCAACUCUAAAUUUAGGGAGUAUGUGGUUAAGAGAUGAUUACUGAUGGUUAGAAGAACAAGAAGAAAAUCAAGAGUUCCUCCCUGGACUGGGUAGAAAUAAACAAGCCUUACAGUGAUUCGAAAGAACACGCUAACAUUUAAAAGAUGAACCUAGUUAAUUUUAUAUAUUUUUCAACAAAAAUUUAAUAAA